UGCGCAGGUGGGUUGGCAAGUUCGAUGUGAAAGCCCCGGGCUUAACCCGGGAAUGGCAUUGGAUACUGCUGAUCUGGAGGGUCGGAGGGGGGACUGGAAUUCUUGGUGUAGCAGUGAAAUGCGUAGAUAUCAAGAGGAACACCAGUGGCGAAGGCGAGUCCCUGGACGAUACCUGACACUGAGGCACGAAAGCCAGGAGCAAACA
rnacentral:rRNA from 1 species